rnacentral:rRNA from 1 species
GGGGAGGCGGGGGCUAUACUGCAAGUCGAGCGAACUGAUUAGAAGCUUGCUUCUAUGACGUUAGCGGCGGACGGGUGAGUAACACGUGGGCAACCUGCCUGUAAGACUGGGAUAACUUCGGGAAACCGAAGCUAAUACCGGAUAGGAUCUUCUCCUUCAUGGGAGAUGAUUGAAAGAUGGUUUCGGCUAUCACUUACAGAUGGGCCCGCGGUGCAUUAGCUAGUUGGUGAGGUAACGGCUCACCAAGGCAACGAUGCAUAGCCGACCUGAGAGGGUGAUCGGCCACACUGGGACUGAGACACGGCCCAGACUCCUACGGGAGGCAGCAGUAGGGAAUCUUCCGCAAUGGACGAAAGUCUGACGGAGCAACGCCGCGUGAGUGAUGAAGGCUUUCGGGUCGUAAAACUCUGUUGUUAGGGAAGAACAAGUAUGAGAGUAACUGCUCGUACCUUGACGGUACCUAACCAGAAAGCCACGGCUAACUACGUGCCAGCAGCCGCGGUAAUACGUAGGUGGCAAGCGUUAUCCGGAAUUAUUGGGCGUAAAGCGCGCGCAGGCGGUUUCUUAAGUCUGAUGUGAAAGCCCACGGCUCAACCGUGGAGGGUCAUUGGAAACUGGGGAACUUGAGUGCACAAAAGAAAAGCGGAAUUCCACGUGUAGCGGUGAGAUGUGUAGAGAUGUGUAGGAGCACACUGGGGAAGAGG